GGACCUGCUGCCACCACACUACUCUGCUCACCCAGCUAGGGUUGCUGUGGGACUGUGUGCUGUAGCAGGAUGCAUCUUCAUGGACUAUAGGAUCCCUGCAGCAUCAUGUGUCCCGCUUUGAGUGAAUGUCCAGCCCUGAGUGAAUGGAAAAGGACAUCAUUAUAUGGUACCUACACAGCAGGUGCUUGUGACAACGCAGGACUUGCCAUUCUCCUUCCUGUUUAAGAAUAGCAGUACAGAUGGAGUUGAAGAGUCUGAUAAAGGAAAGCCUAUUCCUGUUCUGGACAAUUGCAGGGCACAGUAACUCUCAUUUCCCGCUUGCCAGCAGACAAUAGAAAAGCCUUAUAAAACAGCGGCAGUAAGAAAGGAUCCACCGAUAUCACAGAAACAUACCAUGUU